rnacentral:rRNA from 1 species
UGCGUAGGGGGCAAGCGUUGUCCGGAAUUAUUGGGCGUAAAGAGCGUGUAGGCGGUCCGGUAAGUCAGCUGUGAAAGUCAAGGGCUCAACCCUUGAAUGCCGGUUGAUACUGUCGGGCUAGAGUCCGGAAGAGGCGAGUGGAAUUCCCGGUGUAGCGGUGAAAUUCGUAGAUAUUCGCAAGAACACCAGUGGCGAAGGCGGCUCACUGGCCCGGUACUGACGCUGAGGUGCGAAAGCGUGGGGAGCAAACAGG